rnacentral:lncRNA from 10 species
AAAGGCCUCCCUCAAGUGAAACCGGAAACUGCAAGUGUACUACCCUCUGGGUGGGGCAGCUGGACAAAAGAACUACUCAGCAGGAUGUUGCCAGUCUCUUGGAAGAGUUUGGUCCAAUUGAAUCAAUUAAUGUGAGUGUUUAUUCAGUUUUUUAAGUACGAUGGACAGGUGUGAUUAAUGUCAUUUUAUGAAAUGGAGGACCUGAGACCAAAGUUACAAUUUGCCCAGGUUUAUAGAUGUGACUAGAAUUUAGGUGUUCAGAGUCCACGUUUAGAAUUAUCUGUAUUUAACAUUUCUUAGAAUUCUUUGUAUUUAACAUUUCUUGGAUAACCAAGUUUAAUUUCAAACAUUUCUAGGUAAGUCUUUAUAUAACAAAGCUUGGAGGACUCAGUUGAGACCAAACUUGAAUUGCCAACUUAGAAAUGAAUUUAACCUUACAUUAUAUAGCAUGGGGUGAGGGAUGGGAUUGUUGGAACUGCUUACUUGGUGUUGUAUCUUGUUGCUUUUCAAUUUUGUUAUCUUUUAUAAUAUUAAAAUGUUUUGGAGCAGAUGAUUCCUCCCAGGGGUUGUGCCUAUAUUGUUAUGGUUCAUAGGCAAGAUGCCUAUCGUGCCCUGCAGAAACUGAGCCGAGGAAACUAUAAAGUGAACCAGAAAUCCAUAAAGAUUGCCUGGGCCUUAAACAAAGGAAUAAAGGCAGAUUAUAAGCAGUAUUGGGAUGUAGAACUUGGUGUUACUUAUAUUCCAUGGGACAAAGUCAAGCCUGAGGAACUGGAGAGUUUUUGUGAAGGAGGAAUGU